UCUAGUUGUGCAAACACUUGAAUUAUCAAGAAGUUAACAUUCCAUGUAUGCAUUUUCAGAUUUCUGCAAUACGCUACAUGUGAAACUUCCUCCUUAUCUUAUAUUUGAUUCUCUACGCCAUGAACUGUUUAAAUCAAGCAGCACAAUACCAUUAAAGAGGUAAAUUAAAUUCAUAUAUCUGCAAAACUUGAAUUGAUAACUUUCUUAAAGCAGUCUUUCACCUGUUAAUACAUGUUCAGGUUUGUGCAUCAAAACCCAAUAUCUACUGUUCACUACUAUCAAAAGAUUUCUGCAAUACGCUACACUUCAAACUUCCUUCUCCAUUAUAUGAUUCUCCACUCCAUGAACUAUUUUUAUGAAGCACACAACCAAUAAAAAUAAAAGGUAGAAUAUAAUAUCCUUUGUGCUUAUU
ensembl:lncRNA